rnacentral:rRNA from 1 species
GAUGAACGCUGGCGGCGUGCCUAAUACAUGCAAGUCGAGCGAAUGGAUUAAGAGCUUGCUCUUAUGAAGUUAGCGGCGGACGGGUGAGUAACGCGUGGGUAACCUGCCCAUAAGACUGGGAUAACUCCGGGAAACCGGGGCUAAUACCGGAUAACAUUUUGAACCGCAUGGUUCGAAAUUGAAAGGCGGCUUCGGCUGUCACUUAUGGAUGGACCCGCGUCGCAUUAGCUAGUUGGUGAGGUAACGGCUCACCAAGGCAACGAUGCGUAGCCGACCUGAGAGGGUGAUCGGCCACACUGGGACUGAGACAUGGCCCAGACUCCUACGGGAGGCAGCAGUAGGGAACCUUCCGCAAUGGACGAAAGUCUGACGGAGCAACGCCGCGUGAGUGAUGAAGGCUUUCGGGUCGUAAAACUCUGUUGUUAGGGAAGAACAAGUGCUAGUUGAAUAAGCUGACACCUUGACGGUACCUAACCAGAAAGCCACGGCUAACUACGUGCCAGCCGCCGCCGUAA